AUUGAACGCUGGCGGCAGGCCUAACACAUGCAAGUCGAACGGUAACAGGAAGAAGCUUGCUUCUUUGCUGACGAGUGGCGGACGGGUGAGUAAUGUCUGGGAAACUGCCUGAUGGAGGGGGAUAACUACUGGAAACGGUAGCUAAUACCGCAUAACGUCGCAAGACCAAAGAGGGGGACCUUCGGGCCUCUUGCCAUCGGAUGUGCCCAGAUGGGAUUAGCUAGUAGGUGGGGUAACGGCUCACCUAGGCGACGAUCCCUAGCUGGUCUGAGAGGAUGACCAGCCACACUGGAACUGAGACACGGUCCAGACUCCUACGGGAGGCAGCAGUGGGGAAUAUUGCACAAUGGGCGCAAGCCUGAUCCAGCCAUGCCGCGUGUAUGAAGAAGGCCUUCGGGUUGUAAAGUACUUUCAGCGGGGAGGAAGGGAGUAAAGUUAAUACCUUGGCUUAUUGACGUUACCCGCAGAAGAAGCACCGGCUAACUCCGUG
rnacentral:rRNA from 1 species